rnacentral:rRNA from 1 species
AACGAACGCUGGGCAGGCUUAACACAUGCAAGUCGAGCGCAUCCUUCGGGGUGAGCGGCAGACGGGUGAGUAACGCGUGGGGAUGUGCCUGGUGGUACGGAACAACUCAGGGAAACUUGAGCUAAUACCGUAUAAGCCCUUUUGGGGAAAGAUUUAUCGCAACCAGAUCAACCCGCGUUGGAUUAGCUAGUUGGUGGUGUAACGGCUCACCAAGGCGACGAUACAUAGCUGGUCUGAGAGGAUGAUCAGCCACACUGGGACUGAGACCAAGUCCCACACUCGUCGGGGAGGCGGGAGUGGGCAAUAGUGGACAAUGGGCGCAAGCGUGAUCCAGCCAUGCCGCGUGAGUGAUGAAGGCCUUAGGGUUGUAAAGCUCUUUCACUGGGGAAGAUAAUGACGGUACCCAGAGAAGAAGCCCCGGCUAACUUCGUGCCAGCCGCCGCCGUAA